rnacentral:rRNA from 1 species
AAACUCAACCAGGUCCCGGAUACACGUAUGAAAGCCAAGCUGAAAGACUUUGCUCAAUGAUGUAAGUGGUGGUGCAUGGUCGUUCGUAGUUCGUGGAUUGAUUUGUCUGGUCUAUUCCGAUAACGAGCGAGACCCCAACGUUCCUAAUAGGGGUGGCAGCCCGGCCGGCCGCAAGGCCGGCUAGCCGCCACCUGAGAUAUUGCUUCUUAGACGUAUCAGAGCCGAUAAGGUUCUUGAAAUGGGUUAAUAACAGGUCAGUCAUGCCCUUAGAUGUUCUGGGCCGCACGCGCGUUACAAUGGCAUGUAAAGCGAGUGCUGCAAAAGGCGUUACCGGGGCCGAAAGGCCCUGGUAACCCUUAAUCCCUGCCUUGGACUGGGAUAGAUCAUUGCAAUUAUUGGUCUCUAACGAGGAAUUUUUAGUAGUCGUAGGUCAUUAACCUACGACGAAUGCGUCCCUGCCCCUUUGUA